UCCACCAACAACCCUGUGCUGGAGGACCUCUUGUGGCUUCAGCAAUGACAUCUUGGUUGGUGGAACUCCCACCAAAAGGUUUUAGCUGCGUUACAUGGAAAACCCUUUGACGGAGUGCACACGGUGGAAGCUUUAGCUUAUACAUCAUGUGGCUAACCUUCGCAACAAUCGGGUAAGACCCAUGGUAACUAGGGGCAAGCUUCUUGGUGGAUGGUAAAGGAUGGUUAUAAAGACACACAAGCACCAACUGGCCGAUGGCAAAUUCAACUCAUGUCAUCCCCAGCUCAAAACAACUACAUGGUGAUGUAUUGGCCAUUCUUGUUUUUUGAGAGAGAAAAACACAUGGCCCACAAGGUUCUUCCCCUUUGUUUUGGUCAUUUACUUGCUCUCCUAUUUGCUUUCCUUGGUAUUUUGGGAGAGAAAGCUACAAGCUCCUUGGUCUUUGCUUUGGCCUUAUUCUUGCUCUUUCCUUGUUUUUCUUUGGAGAGAAAGCUAAAGGGCCCACAACCUCUUUCCUCUUUGCUUUCUUUGUUUGUUUCCUUUUUUCUUUUCAUGAAUGUUUUCAAAAAAAGUUCUCUAGUUUUCUUUCACCAGAUUAGGCAAUCACUGAAAACAAAGACAAACACCCGAUUCAUGGGUCUCACGUCUUUGUUGUGGAAGAGGUGUUGCUCAACUAAACGUGCCCGGCUACGUGCUUUCUGUCUGCGGCUGGACUUUCCUUACCGGACUGCCACAUGAAGUGACCUAGGACUUUGACAAGUAGACCCUGUCCAUACACGCCCCCAAGAGGACCGCAAACACCAUUUUUAGUGAUAGUAAAACUAAUUUAUACAUGGUAGAAGAAUCUAAGACAACAUUAAAAAAACUUAGCCUAAACGAUAUCCAUGUCUGGUGCAAACCAGCCGGAGACGCGGACACAUGCUGGAGGAGCUGGAAGCCUCCGAGCACGACAUCGUGUCACUCCUACAGGUAGGGCCAAUCGCCGAGGCCGUGAACCGGGUGUUCGUCGCGUUGCCGGAGAACCCGAACGGUCCGCAUUGAGCUAAGACACCGCCGCCCGGUGCCACCGUUCGAUAAACCGUCGAUGACUUGGCUGAAUAACACCUCUUCGACAACAAAGAAAUGAGACCUGUGAUCACAACAGAAAUAAAAUGGUGAGUGUCAAGAAGAGGGUCGGGACAACAAAAUCCAAUCAAAAUGUAAACCUUAGACAACAUGAGGAGCCAUCCGACCCUUGUUGGCGUCGUCCAUGAUCACCAGCUGCAACGCCCCACACAAAGAGACAAGAAAAGAAUUUAGGGUUGGUGAGCAUCGGGAGCGUGUCCUUUUUAUGCAUACGCCGGAUCCGACCUAAUGAAAUGUCGGAAAAAGGCACCACAAAAUCAGACCCAAAUAAGUACCAUAUGCUUUUCUUUCACCUGAUUAGGCAAUCAAAACCCCUUUCACAAGACUCAACUUCUCAUCAAUCUUAAAAAGCAUUCACAUGUUUAAUUAGAUGAUUUGCAUGACUUUUUUCGCUCAUUACAACAAUGCACAUAUCCAACUCUCUUUUAUUUUCUGUAUGGGAGGAAAUCAUUUCUACUUAUUGCAACUGUACUCCUCCGAUUCUCCAUAAAUAUACUUGUAAGUUAUGUAUUGUUUAACAAGUUCAGUAAAUCAUGGAGGAGCAAUAGAUAUUUACUUGUCUCCAUUUUUCAUGUCUAUGAUCAUUAAAUGAAUAUUGUUGCUCCUGUAAGACAAGUAGGAUUUGAGAUUGUAGUGCUUGAGUAAGCAUAUCCUUCUUGUUUGCAGUUGGCAUUCGUUUGUAGCUGGUAUGGUUCCAUUUUACGCUGAACCACAAAUUAGACUACAUUACAAACUUUUUUAGUGGAAAAUAAAUAUAUAUUUUUUCUGAAUUAUGCAGUGUUUCCAUUACUUCCUGUUGAAAUCUACUCAAUGUGCUGACAAGUGGACUUUUCAUUGAACGUAUAGUAAUGUUUCCCAUCUAUGCUAAAGUUGUGUUUUUCCAAUAAUACCUUAGGGCAUGAAUUUACAAAAAUGUUUGAAUUGAAAGUUAUAAAAAGGAAUGUACAAAAAACUUUAAAGACAAACACUAUAAGUUUAUAUGAAGCUACAACUCCUGUCCAUAUUUUUCUCUUCUGAGAUUUGAUAUGAAGCUUCAGUUCCUAUACUAAAUACAAUUCAUUUCUUCUUCUGCUUUUUCGAGACAUUAUGUGAAGCAACCCAUCGCAACUUGCAACAUCACCUAAUUGAUGCCCUUUGUGAACUCAAGUUUGCUAGUUUGUUGUCUAUAAAAGAAGAUCCAUGCUUGGAGUUGUAAGAGGUCCUAAUUAACAUUGUAGGUUCGAGAAGGUAUUGCUUAUUUACAUGAAUGUGCUUCCUUUUAAGUAGUGGAAAAUAAUGCCAUGCCGCCAGCUCCUCCACGAUAACCAUCUAUUCAGAUUUAUCUAAUUAUGCAAGGAACCAGCUAUUUAUAUCUUCCAAUGCACCAAACUAAUAGUCUCAUGAACUUGAUAUCAGCUUAAAUCAUAACAGUAUCAUGUUUUCGUCAAAGAGCUUUGUGGUGGCAUAAAUAUCAAGUCACGAGGAACAUUCAGAUGCAAAGCACUCAUGUUCCUGAGAGAAACCCAGGUUGUACAUUUCUAUUCUCUCUUUUUUACUUUUGGAGUUAUGUCAAGCACAUGCUUUUAUUUUGGUGCAGGUAGAUUUUACAUCUGGAUGCCCAGGCUUAAAUAAUAACAAAGGGCAUAGCAGCGCAAGAACACUGAUGUAUUGGAUAGCUUCUGCUUUCGACUUUCCUGUUCAUUUCAUUAGCACUUUGACUUAUUGAGGGAGGUGAAGUGAAGGCAGCUCUGUGUGCCAAAAUAAAACACACCUUUGUGUGCAAAUAAUGUACUGAUGAAUUUUCAAUGUAACUCAAAAUGGCCUCGUUUUACAA